AUUGAACGCUGGCGGCAGGCCUAACACAUGCAAGUCGAACGAGUGGCGGACGGGUAAGUAAUGUCUGGGAAACUGCCUGAUGGAGGGGGAUAACUACUAGAAACGGUAGCUAAAACCGCAUACCAUCGGAUGUCGCCAGAUAGGCUUAGCUCGUAGGUGGGGUAAAGGCUAACCUAGGCGACGAUCCCUAGCUGGUCUGAGAGGAUGACUAGCCACACUGGCACUUAGACACGGUCCAGAAUCCUACGGGAGGCAGCAGUGUGGAAUAUUGCACAAUGGUCGCAAGUCUGAUGCUGCAGUGCCGCGUGUAUGAAGAAGUCCUUCGGGUUGUAAAGUACUUUCAGCGGGUAUGCGUUAUCCGCAGAAGAAGCACCGGCUAACUCCGUGCCAGAAGACGCGGUGAUUC
rnacentral:rRNA from 1 species